CCAGCAUCCAGGAUGUCAAAGGUCUGUCCCGGGACAAGAGUGAAGUCAAACCUCUGGAGCAGUUUGGCCAUCACCACUUUAGCCUCCAUCUAAAAAACACACCAGCCCCCACAGAGAUGAGUCAGUGUGUUUAUAGCUCAUCCAACGUCAGUGCCACAUCGUGCUAUCACUGGAGAGAGACCAGUCAGCUUAAAGUUAGGAGCUGGGACUCAAAAGAGUAUCACAGGCUGCUGGAGACACGUGAAAUAACAGAGACUCACCGGCAAUGAAGAAUGUCACGAAAUUGUCCAGCAUAAACUCCUCAUCUUCUUCAGUCAUGAUUUCCUCUGAAACAAUAAGAAAAUCUACAUAUAAAUUAA